rnacentral:sRNA from 1 species
GUUUUGCGUGAGGGAUAGCAGUGGAAAUCCUUUUUUGUUUUUUUUCUUUAAAAAAACAAAAAAGAUUGCAACGAAUAGCCCGACCCGUA